rnacentral:rRNA from 1 species
AUUGAACGCUGGCGGAAUGCUUUACACAUGCAAGUCGAACGGUAGAGGGGGCAACCCCUUGAGAGUGGCGAACGGGUGAGUAAUAUAUCGGAACGUGCCCAGUCGUGGGGAUAACGUAGCGGAAAGUUACGCUAAUACCGCAUACGAUCUAAGGAUGAAAGCGGGGGAUCGCAAGACCUCGCGCGAUUGGAGCGGCCGAUAUCAGAUUAGGUAGUUGGUGAGGUAAAGGCUCACCAAGCCGACGAUCUGUAGCUGGUCUGAGAGGACGACCAGCCACACUGGGACUGAGACACGGCCCAGACUCCUACGGGAGGCAGCAGUGGGGAAUUUUGGACAAUGGGCGGCAAGGCCUGAUCCAGCAAUGCCGCGUGCAGGAUGAAGGCC